CGUCGAAAGGAGACGGAAAAGAGCUUGGGAAGUGGCGCAGAAACGAAACCUAUUGAGAGCUUGGAGGAGGUGGAUCGCUACGUCAU
rnacentral:ribozyme from 13 species